UGAACAUUGCUAUCGAAAAAAAUACAAAAACAGUUUAGAAGACAUAGGCAGUAUUAAACAGUCUUUACUAACUCAAAUAUGUAGAGUGUAAUUUUUAAACGAAAAUUGUCCACGAAUAAAAAAAAAUUCAUGCUACACCAGCCGACAGUCGUGUAUGCGUUCAAAGUCGUGUUUGGAAAGGUUUCGACGGAAAUGUGUGUACCUAUAUAAGCCUAUAUGUGUAUGGAGAUUUUUUGAACAAAACAAAAUCCGAGAAAUAACGUCAUAUUAUUAUUUAUAUACUUUCCUGUAGUUUUGACGACUAGUUGUAAAAUGUUUGAAACUAGUAUUUUCCUCGGUCGAAAAUGUCAUUUAUACAAAAC